rnacentral:rRNA from 1 species
AGGGUUUGAUUAUGGCUCAGAUUGAACGCUGGCGGCAGGCCUAACACAUGCAAGUCGAGCGGUAACAGAAAGUAGCUUGCUACUUUGCUGACGAGCGGCGGACGGGUGAGUAAUGCUUGGGAACAUGCCUUGAGGUGGGGGACAACAGUUGGAAACGACUGCUAAUACCGCAUAAUGUCUACGGACCAAAGGGGGCUUCGGCUCUUGCCUUUAGAUUGUGCCCAAGUGGGAUUAGCUAGUUGGUGAGGUAAUGGCUCACCAAGGCAACGAUCCCUAGAUGGUUUGAGAGGAUGAUCAGCCACACUGGGACUGAGACACGGCCCAGACUCUUACGGGAGGCAGCAGUGGGGAAUAUUGCACAAUGGGCGCAAGCCUGAUGCAGCCAUGCCGCGUGUGUGAAGAAGGCCUUCGGGUUGUAAAGCACUUUCAGUCAGGAGGAAAGGUUAACGGUUAAUACCCUUUAGCUGUGACGUUACUGACAGAAGAAGCCCCGGCUAACUCCGUGCCAGCCGCCGCGGUAAUUCAAUU